UACGUAGGGUGCGAGCGUUAAUCGGAAUUACUGGGCGUAAAGCGUGCGCAGGCGGCGCCGCAAGUCAGGCGUGAAAUCCCCGAGCUUAACUUGGGAAUGGCGCUUGAAACUACGGUGCUGGAGUGUGGCAGAGGGAGGUGGAAUUCCACGUGUAGCGGUGAAAUGCGUAGAGAUGUGGAGGAACACCGGUGGCGAAGGCGGCAUCCUGGACCAAUAUUGACGCUGAGGAGCGAAAGCCAGGGGAGCAAACGGG
rnacentral:rRNA from 1 species